rnacentral:lncRNA from 1 species
UUCUAUUCUCGCAGACCAACAAAGAGUCAUUUUCUUUUGACUAGAGAUUCAAAAAGGUGACUUAAAAUACCAUAACUCAAUUUCAAGUGACGACUCUAAAAAUGAUAAAAAUAAUCCAUAUUCAAAACUAUCACUUUAAUUGGAAAACCCCUUCGACUCUGAUCCUCGGGCGAAAAAAGGGUGUGACAGAGACUAUGAUUGUAGUGAGGGGUUUUAUGGCUACGAAUUUGAGGGAGAUUGGGAAGGCUAUGAAAAUAGCUAUAAUCAAAACUUGAGCAGAUUUGAGGGACACAGUAUUAGGGGAGAA